rnacentral:rRNA from 1 species
GAUGAACGCUGGCGGCGUGCUUAACACAUGCAAGUCGAACGAUGAAGCCCAGCUUGCUGGGUGGAUUAGUGGCGAACGGGUGAGUAACACGUGAGUAACCUGCCCUUAACUCUGGGAUAAGCCUGGGAAACUGGGUCUAAUACCGGAUAGGAGCGUCCACCGCAUGGUGGGUGUUGGAAAGAUUUAUCGGUUUUGGAUGGACUCGCGGCCUAUCAGCUUGUUGGUGAGGUAAUGGCUCACCAAGGCGACGACGGGUAGCCGGCCUGAGAGGGUGACCGGCCACACUGGGACUGAGACACGGCCCAGACUCCUACGGGAGGCAGCAGUGGGGAAUAUUGCACAAUGGGCGCAAGCCUGAUGCAGCGACGCCGCGUGAGGGAUGACGGCCUUCGGGUUGUAAACCUCUUUCAGUAGGGAAGAAGCGAAAGUGACGGUACCUGCAGAAGAAGCACCGGUUAACUACGUG